rnacentral:tRNA from 1 species
AUUUAUAUAAUUUAUAUAGAAUAUUGCAUUGAAGCUGCAAAAGAGAUAAUUUCAAUCUGUAAAUA